GACGAACGCUGGCGGCGUGCUUAACACAUGCAAGUCGAACGGAAAGGCCUCUUUCGGGGGGUACUCGAGUGGCGAACGGGUGAGUAACACGUGAGUAACCUGCCCUUGACGUUGGGAUAACUUCAGGAAACUGGGGCUAAUACCGGAUAGGAGCUCCUGCUGCAUGGUGGGGGUUGGAAAGUUUCGGCGGUGGGGGAUGGACUCGCGGCAUAUCAGCUUGUUUGUGGGGUAGUGGGUUACCAAGGCGUUGCCGGGUAGCCGGCCUGAGAGGGUGAAAGGCGACAUUGGGACUGAGGUGCGGCCCAGACUCCGAAGGGAGGAAGCAGGGGGGAAGAUUGCACAAUGGGUGGAAGCCUGAUGCAGCAGCGCCGUGGGCGGGAUGACGGCCUUCGGGUUGUAAACCGCUUUCGCUCAUGACGAAGCUUUGUGUGACGGUAGUGGGUAAAGAAGCACCGGCUAACUACGUG
rnacentral:rRNA from 1 species